rnacentral:pre_miRNA from 1 species
UAGGUACUCCCUCCGUCCAAAAAGCUUGUCCCUCAAAUGGAUGUAUCUAGCACUAACUUGGUGCUAGAUACAUCCAUUUGAGGGACAAGCUUUUUCGUACGGAGGGAGUAGCAA